rnacentral:rRNA from 1 species
AGUGAACGCUGGCGGUAGGCCUAACACAUGCGAGUCGAACGGCAGCACAGUAAGAGCUUGCUCUUACGGGUGGCGAGUGGCGGACGGGCGAGGAAUACAUCGGAAUCUACUUUUUCGUGGGGGAUAACGUAGGGAAACUUACGCUAAUACCGCAUACGACCUACGGGUGAAAGCAGGGGAUCUUCGGACCUUGCGCGAUUGAAUGAGCCGAUGUCGGAUUAGCUAGUUGGCGGGGUAAAGGCCCACCAAGGCGACGAUCCGUAGCUGGUCUGAGAGGAUGAUUAGCCACACUGGAACUGAGACACGGUCCAGACUCCUACGGGAGGCAGCAGUGGGGAAUAUUGGACAAUGGGCGCAAGCCUGAUCCAGCCAUACCGCGUGGGUGAAGAAGGCCUUCGGGUUGUAAAGCCCUUUUGUUGGGAAAGAAAAGCAGCAGGUUAAUACCCCGCUGUUCUGACGGUACCCAAAGAAUAAGCACCGGCUAACUUCGUG